rnacentral:rRNA from 1 species
CCUACGGGAGGCAGCAGUGAGGAAUAUUGGUCAAUGGGCGUAAGACUGAACCAGCCAAGCCGCGUGAGGGAUGAAGGUUCUAUGGAUCGUAAACCUCUUUUAUCAGGGAACAAAGAGUGGGACGUGUCCUGUUUUGUAUGUACCUUAUGAAUAAGGAUCGGCUAACUCCGUGCCAGCAGCCGCGGUAAUACGGAGGAUCCGAGCGUUAUCCGGAUUUAUUGGGUUUAAAGGGUGCGUAGGCGGCCCUUUAAGUCAGCGGUGAAAGGCCGGGGCUCAACCCUAGAAUUGCCGUUGAAACUGGGAGUCUUGAGUAGGAUUGAGGCAUGCGGAAUGCGUGGUGUAGCGGUGAAAUGCUUAGAUAUCACGCAGAACCCCGAUUGCGAAGGCAGCCUGCCAAGCCAUGACUGACGCUGAUGCACGAAAGCGUGGGUAUCAAACAGGAUUAGAUACCCGUGUAGUC